UACGUAGGGACCAAGCGUUGUUCGGAUUUACUGGGCGUAAAGGGCGCGUAGGCGGCAUGUUAAGUCAGCUGUGAAAUCUCCGAGCUUAACUCGGAACUGUCAGCUGAUACUGAUGUGCUAGGGUGCAGAAGGGGCAAUCGGAAUUCUUGGUGUAGCGGUGAAAUGCGUAGAUAUCAAGAGGAACACCUGAGGUGAAGACGGGUUGCUGGGCUGACACUGACGCUGAGGCGCGAAAGCCAGGGGAGCAAACGGG
rnacentral:rRNA from 1 species